rnacentral:rRNA from 1 species
UGGGGAAUUUUGGACAAUGGGGGCAACCCUGAUCCAGCCAUCCCGCGUGUGCGAUGAAGGCCUUCGGGUUGUAAAGCACUUUUGGCAGGGAAGAAACAGCCUGGGCUAAUAUCCCGGGCGACUGAUGGUACCUGCAGAAUAAGCACCGGCUAACUACGUGCCAGCAGCCGCGGUAAUACGUAGGGUGCAAGCGUUAAUCGGAAUUACUGGGCGUAAAGCGUGCGCAGGCGGUUCGGAAAGAAAGGUGUGAAAUCCCAGGGCUUAACCUUGGAACUGCACUUUUAACUACCGGGCUAGAGUACGUCAGAGNGGGGUAGAAUUCCACGUGUAGCAGUGAAAUGCGUAGAGAUGUGGAGGAAUACCGAUGGCGAAGGCAGCCCCCUGGGAUGAUACUGACGCUCAUGCACGAAAGCGUGGGGAGCAAACA